GAAGCUUGCUCCCAAAUCUUAGCGGCGGACGGGUGAGUAACACGUGGGCAACCUGCCCUGCAGACUGGGAUAACUCCGGGAAACCGGAGCUAAUACCGGGUAAUACAUAGCACCGCAUGGUGCAAUGUUGAAAGUUGGCUUUCGAGCUAACACUGCAGGAUGGGCCCGCGGCGCAUUAGCUAGUUGGUAAGGUAAUGGCUUACCAAGGCGACGAUGCGUAGCCGACCUGAGAGGGUGAUCGGCCACACUGGGACUGAGACACGGCCCAGACUCCUACGGGAGGCAGCAGUAGGGAAUCUUCCGCAAUGGACGAAAGUCUGACGGAGCAACGCCGCGUGAGUGACGAAGGCCUUCGGGUCGUAAAGCUCUGUUGUUAGGGAAGAACAAGUACCGUUCGAAUAGGGCGGUACCUUGACGGUACCUAACCAGAAAGCCACGGCUAACUACGUGCCAGCAGCCGCGGUAAUACGUAGGUGGCAAGCGUUGUCCGGAAUUAUUGGGCGUAAAGCGCGCGCAGGCGGUCUUUUAAGUCUGAUGUGAAAGCCCACGGCUCAACCGUGGAGGGUCAUUGGAAACUGGAGGACUUGAGUGCAGAAGAGGAGAGUGGAAUUCCACGUGUAGCGGUGAAAUGCGUAGAUAUGUGGAGG
rnacentral:rRNA from 1 species